CGACGUUGGCUACUAUGCCAGCUGGUGGAUUGCUCGGCUCGAGAGCUGAAGAAGGACGUGCCAAGCUGCGAAAAGCCUGAGGGAGCCGCACGGAGGCUAAGAACUCAGGAUCUCCGAAUGGGAAUCCCCACAGCAAUUGCUUCGCGCAAUGAGUAACCCCGAGAACUGAAACAUCUCAGUAUCGGGUGGAAAAGAAAACGCAACGUGAUGUCGUCAGUAACCGCGAGUGAACGCGAUACAGCCCAAACCGAAGGUCCCACGACCAAUGUGGUGUUCGGGCAGAUUCUCAGCAGCGGACCAUCUCACAGAAGUCCCUUGGAACAGGGCGUGAUACAGGGUGACAACCCCGUACGUGAGGUCAGUACGCUGUGCAUCUGUUCCAGAG
rnacentral:rRNA from 1 species